AUUGAACGCUGGCGGCAGGCCUAACACAUGCAAGUCGAGCGAGCGGCGGACGGGUGAGUAAUGUCUGGGAAACUGCCUGAUGGAGGGGGAUAACUACUGGAAACGGUAGCUAAUACCGCAUAACAUCAGAUGUGCCCAGGUGGGAUUAGCUAGUAGGUGGGUUAACGCCUCACCUAGCCGACGAUCCCUAGCUGGUCUGAGAGGAUGACCAGCUAAACUGGAACUGAGACAGGGUCCAAACCCCUACGGGAGGGAGCAGUGGGGAAUAUUGCAAAAUGGGAGCAAGCCUGAUGCAGCCAGGCCGCGUGUGGGAAAAAGGCCUUAGGGUUGUAAAACACUUUCAGCGGGGAGGCGUUACCCGCAGAAGAAGCACCGGCUAACUCCGGGCCAGCAGCCGCGGUAAUAC
rnacentral:rRNA from 1 species